UACGUAGGUGGCAAGCGUUAUCCGGAAUUAUUGGGCGUAAAGAGCGCGCAGGUGGUUGAUUAAGUCUGAUGUGAAAGCCCACGGCUUAACCGUGGAGGGUCAUUGGAAACUGGUCGACUUGAGUGCAGAAGAGGGAAGUGGAAUUCCAUGUGUAGCGGUGAAAUGCGUAGAGAUAUGGAGGAACACCAGUGGCGAAGGCGGCUUCCUGGUCUGUAACUGACACUGAGGCGCGAAAGCGUGGGGAGCAAACAGGAUUAGAUA
rnacentral:rRNA from 1 species